UAACAGCCUUGAAAUGAGACGCAAAGUGAGACACGACCGCAUGCCUAAUAGGAACCACACCCUCCACAACGGUAUUAUCCACUUGCAGAGACGUAAUAGCAUUACCCCUCCGACGACUCGCAAGAACUGAGUGAAAAAACUUAGUGUUAGCAUCCCCUUCCUUAAGCCACCGCGAGCGAGACUGCUGCCAACAUAUACUAGCAUUCAGCCGGGAAAGCGAAUGAAUAUCCGACGACACCCCAUGAAACUCAGUCAGCUCAGAAUCAGAUAAAACCACUUCCCCCCCUUCUCAUCAAGCGCG
rnacentral:lncRNA from 1 species